GUGGGAGGGGGCUUGCCCCCGAUAGCAGGGUGUCAGUCAGCACAACCAUCACUGAUACACCGCAAUCGGGGGCAAGCCCCCUCCCAC
rnacentral:misc_RNA from 1 species